GAUGAACGCUAGCGGGAGGCCUAAUACAUGCAAGUCGAACGGUAAGGUCCCUUCGGGGAUACACGAGUGGCGGACGGGUGCGUAACGCGUACGAAACAUACCUUCAACAGGGAGAUACCUCCGGGAAACUGGAAAUAAUACCCCAUAGUAUUGAGAUAUCGCAUGAUAUUUCAAUUAAAGCUUUGGCGGUUGAAGAUUGUCGUGCGUCUGAUUAGCUAGUUGGUGAGGUAACGGCUCACCAAGGCGACGAUCAGUAGCUGGUCUGAGAGGAUGAUCAGCCACACUGGAACUGAGACACGGUCCAGACUCCUACGGGAGGCAGCAGUAGGGAAUAUUGGGACAAUGGGCGGAAGCCGUGAUCCAGCCAU
rnacentral:rRNA from 1 species